CAGCAGCCGCGGUAAUACGGAGGGGGCUAGCGUUGUUCGGAAUUACUGGGCGUAAAGCGCACGUAGGCGGCUUGGUAAGUUAGAGGUGAAAGCCUGGAGCUCAACUCCAGAAUUGCCUUUAAGACUGCCGAGCUAGCAGGUGAGAGAGGUAAGUGGAAUUCCGAGUGUAGAGGUGAAAUUCGUAGAUAUUCGGAAGAACACCAGUGGCGAAGGCGGCUUACUGGCUCAUACUGGACGCUGAGGUGCGAAAGCGUGGGGAGCAAACAGGAUUAGAUACCCCAGUAGUCCCUGUCUCUUAUAC
rnacentral:rRNA from 1 species